GCUAUGAUCAAGAAAAAACGAAUUUUAUAUUGUUUUUAUUUAAUUCACCUGUGCACUUUAUUGUGGGACCACGUGUUAUCAUGAAUGAAAAGUUUUAUUGAGUGAUACAAUUGCUUACGGAAUAACACGUGAUGUGCUGUUAGCUAAUCAGAAUAAAGUAUUAUAAUGAAACAUACAUCUAAUGUAAUUAUAUAGUAAUAUA
rnacentral:lncRNA from 1 species